UACGAAGGGGGCUAGCGUUGCUCGGAAUCACUGGGCGUAAAGGGUGCGUAGGCGGGGCUUUAAGUCAGGGGUGAAAUCCUGGAGCUCAACUCCAGAACUGCCUUUGAUACUGAGGAUCUUGAGUUCGGGAGAGGUGAGUGAAACUGCGAGUGUAGAGGUGAAAUUCGUAGAUAUUCGCAAGAACACCAGUGGCGAAGGCGGCUCACUGGCCCGGUACUGACGCUGAGAGGCGAAAGCGUGGGGAGCAAACAGG
rnacentral:rRNA from 1 species